rnacentral:rRNA from 1 species
GACGAACGCUGGCGGCGUGCUUAACACAUGCAAGUCGAACGGAAAGGCCCUGCUUUUGUGGGGUGCUCGAGUGGCGAACGGGUGAGUAACACGUGAGUAACCUGCCCUUGACUUUGGGAUAACUUCAGGAAAAUGGGGCUAAUACCGGAUAGGAGCUUCUGCUGCAUGGUGGGGGUUGGAAAGUUUCGGCGGUUGGGGAUGGACUCGCGGCUUAUCAGCUUGUUGGUGGGGUAGUGGCUUACCAAGGCUUUGACGGGUAGCCGGCCUGAGAGGGUGACCGGCCACAAUGGGACUGAGAUACGGCCCAGACGCGUACGGGAGGCAGCAGGGGGGAAUAUUGCACAAUGGGCGGAAGCCUGAUGCAGCAACGCCGCGUGCGGGAUGACGGCCUUCGGGUUGUAAACCGCUUUCGCCUGUGACGAAGCGUGAGUGACGGUAAUGAGUAAAGAAGCACCGGCUAACUACGUG